rnacentral:rRNA from 1 species
GAUGAACGCUGGCGGCGUGCCUAAUACAUGCAAGUCGAGCGAACGGACGAGAAGCUUGCUUCUCUGAUGUUAGCGGCGGACGGGUGAGUAACACGUGGAUAACCUACCUAUAAGACUGGGAUAACUUCGGGAAACCGUAGCUAAUACCGGAUAAUAUUUUGAACCGCAUGGUUCAAAAGUGAAAGACGGUCUUGCUGUCACUUAUAGAUGGAUCCGCGCUGCAUUAGCUAGUUGGUAAGGUAACGGCUUACCAAGGCAACGAUGCAUAGCCGACCUGAGAGGGUGAUCGGCCACACUGGAACUGAGACACGGUCCAGACUCCUACGGGAGGCAGCAGUAGGGAGUCUUCCGCAAUGGGCGAAAGCCUGACGGAGCAACGCCGCGUGAGUGAUGAAGGUCUUCGGAUCGUAAAACUCUGUUAUUAGGGAAGAACAUAUGUGUAAGUAACUGUGCACAUCUUGACGGUACCUAAUCAGAAAGCCACGGCUAACUACGUGCCAGCAGCCGCGGUAAUACGUAGGUGGCAAGCGUUAUCCGGAAUUAUUGGGCGUAAAGCGCGCGUAGGCGGUUUUUUAAGUCUGAUGUGAAAGCCCACGGCUCAACCGUGGAGGGUCAUUGGAAACUGGAAAACUUGAGUGCAGAAGAGGAAAGUGGAAUUCCAUGUGUAGCGGUGAAAUGCGCAGAGAUAUGGAGGAACACCAGUGGCGAAGGCGACUUUCUGGUCUGUAACUGACGCUGAUGUGCGAAAGCGUGGGGAUCAAACAGGAUUAGAUACCCUGGUAGUCCACGCCGUAAACGAUGAGUGCUAAGUGUUAGGGGGUUUCCGCCCCUUAGUGCUGCAGCUAACGCAUUAAGCACUCCGCCUGGGGAGUACGACCGCAAGGUUGAAACUCAAAGGAAUUGACGGGGACCCGCACAAGCGGUGGAGCAUGUGGUUUAAUUCGAAGCAACGCGAAGAACCUUACCAAAUCUUGACAUCCUUUGACAACUCUAGAGAUAGAGCCUUCCCCUUCGGGGGACAAAGUGACAGGUGGUGCAUGGUUGUCGUCAGCUCGUGUCGUGAGAUGUUGGGUUAAGUCCCGCAACGAGCGCAACCCUUAAGCUUAGUUGCCAUCAUUAAGUUGGGCACUCUAAGUUGACUGCCGGUGACAAACCGGAGGAAGGUGGGGAUGACGUCAAAUCAUCAUGCCCCUUAUGAUUUGGGCUACACACGUGCUACAAUGGACAAUACAAAGGGCAGCGAAACCGCGAGGUCAAGCAAAUCCCAUAAAGUUGUUCUCAGUUCGGAUUGUAGUCUGCAACUCGACUACAUGAAGCUGGAAUCGCUAGUAAUCGUAGAUCAGCAUGCUACGGUGAAUACGUUCCCGGGUCU